rnacentral:tRNA from 1 species
GGCCGCGGUAGCGCACGGCCGCCUGCGGGUUCAGGCCCGGCACGGCCAGCGUGGUGGCCAGCAGGUAGGGAUCGUAUUCCACGCGGUCGC